GAUGAACGCUAGCGAUAGGCUUAACACAUGCAAGUCGAGGGGCAGCAUGGUCUUAGCUUGCUAAGGCUGAUGGCGACCGGCGCACGGGUGCGUAACGCGUAUGCAACUUGCCUCACAGAGGGGGAUAACCCGUCGAAAGACGGACUAAUACCGCGUACACUCUAUGUUGGGCAUCCAAUGUAGAGGAAAUGAAAUUCGCUGUGAGAUAGGCAUGCGUCCCAUUAGCUAGUUGGUGAGGUAACGGCUCACCAAGGCGACGAUGGUUAGGGGAACUGAGAGGUUGAACCCCCACACUGGUACUGAGACACGGACCAGACUCCUACGGGAGGCAGCAGUGAGGAAUAUUGGUCAAUGGGCGAGAGCCUGAACCAGCCAAGUCGCGUGAAGGAUGACUGUCUUAUGGAUUGUAAACUUCUUUUAUACGGGAAUAACAAGAGUCACGUGUGGCUCCCUGCAUGUACCGUAUGAAUAAGCAUCGGCUAACUCCGUG
rnacentral:rRNA from 1 species